rnacentral:lncRNA from 1 species
UUCACUACAGGGCUAGAUGUGGAGAAGUUGAAGAAGCUGGUGAAGGACAUCAUGUUUAAUCCUCUGAAGGACCUAUCCGAAGCUUAUAAAAGGGCAAAGAAUUUUAUUGAACUUUAUGACACUACGAGGAGUCUUAAAUCCCCGAUACGUAAAACAAACAUGCUAUUAUUCGAUUUUGCGAUCAAUAAAUACGUGCAAGUAUACACGGUCAAUAAGUAAUAUAAUUAUAAAAAAGAGUGUCGUACCUACGAGGAAUCCCUAUCUAACAAAUUCCAAC